rnacentral:rRNA from 1 species
GAAAUCCCCGGGCUCAACCUGGGAGCUGCAUUCGAAACUGGCAGGCUAGAGUCUUAUAGAGGGGGGUAGAAUUCCAGGUGUAGCGGUGAAAUGCGUAGAGAUCUGGAGGAAUACCGGUGGCGAAGGCGGCCCUCUGGACAAAAACUGACGCUCAGGUGAAAAGCGUGGGGAGCAAACAGGAUUAGAU